AUUAAGAUGGCAGAUCAGUGCAUAGGAUUUAAGAUCCUAUUAGAGAAUAGAUUUAUUAUUCUUCUUAAUA
rnacentral:tRNA from 1 species